rnacentral:rRNA from 1 species
AGCGCAGGCGGGAAGACAAGUUGGAAGUGAAAUCUAUGGGCUCAACCCAUAAAUUGCUUUCAAAACUGUUUUUCUUGAGUAGUGCAGAGGUAGGCGGAAUUCCCGGUGUAGCGGUGGAAUGCGUAGAUAUCGGGAGGAACACCAGUGGCGAAGGCGGCCUACUGGGCACCAACUGACGCUGAGGCUCGAAAGUGUGGGUAGCAAACA